AUCUGAGACCCUCUAAGGUUCAUCCACAGCUCCUUUGCCUCUCCUCCGAAGCUCUGGAUGGUCACCUGACCACGGACUCUGGCAGCAGCCCACCCUCCCAAAAGGCCAGAUGUAGGAGGGUGUUGAAAAGAGGUACUGUCUGGUCAUUUGCCAUCCCCCACAUCUCACCAUCCUGCCUCCUAGCCUCAGCCUCAUUCUCUGUGGGCCUCUGAGGGCUCAGGUGGAUGGCAAGGCACCUUUAUUCAGACAGAAAGGACGGUGCAGCUGAGUCUAGCCCAAAAGAGAACCCAAAAUUCCAGGUUCCUAGCAGCAACUGGAAACCAUCGGGACAACUCAGAGGCAGAGAGUUGGCUCCACUCUGCUCAUAGGAAUCCUCAGCACCUUCCCUGACUUUGGGGUACCUGAUGGAGGCACAUGUACUCUCUCAGGUAGCAAGAAGCUUUUGUGUUCCAGGUGAGCCAGAAAGAGGAGCCACGGUGCCACAGAGUGCUCCGUGUCAGAGGAUGUGAGAAAGGAGAGGAAAGAACACAAAUAUCACAUCAACAUGGACAGAUGUCACACAAGGCCACUCUGUGGCCCUCACCUCUGUUAGACCACCAUAACCUCUAAGAGCACACUUCGGAACAAGGGAAGGCUUCCUGGAAACCAACGGGAGUGUAGAAGCUUCUUCCUUGCUAAUAGACGGAGUAGAAGUGGGAUGUUCAUGCACACGCAGCUGCUGACAUGGGCACCGGCACCCCAACCCGUUAGGCCCACCAAUAUUAGCACCCUGGAACAAGGAGCUAGCUCACCCAUGGUAACAACUGACCAGGGCUAGGGGACAA